rnacentral:rRNA from 1 species
ACACAUGCAAGUCGAGCGAAGCGCAUUGCUUUGAAUCUUUCGGGAGGAAGAGCGAAGUGACUUAGCGGCGGACGGGUGAGUAACGCGUGGGUAACCUGCCUCAUACAGGGGGAUAACAGUUAGAAAUGACUGCUAAUACCGCAUAAGCGCACAGGACCGCAUGGUCAAGUGUGAAAAACUGAGGUGGUAUGAGAUGGACCCGCGUCUGAUUAGCUAGUUGGUGAGGUAAGGGCUCACCAAGGCAACGAUCAGUAGCCGACCUGAGAGGGUGACCGGCCACAUUGGGACUGAGACACGGCCCAAACUCCUACGGGAGGCAGCAGUGGGGAAUAUUGCACAAUGGGGGAAACCCUGAUGCAGCGACGCCGCGUGAGCGAAGAAGUAUUUCGGUAUGUAAAGCUCUAUCAGCAGGGAAGAAAAUGACGGUACCUGACUAAGAAGCACCGGCUAAAUACGUGCCAGCAGCCGCGGUAAUACGUAUGGUGCAAGCGUUAUCCGGAUUUACUGGGUGUAAAGGGAGCGUAGACGGAUAAGCAAGUCUGGAGUGAAAGCCCGGGGCUCAACCCCGGGACUGCUUUGGAAACUGUUAAUCUAGAGUGCUGGAGAGGUAAGUGGAAUUCCUAGUGUAGCGGUGAAAUGCGUAGAUAUUAGGAGGAACACCAGUGGCGAAGGCGGCUUACUGGACAGUGACUGACGUUGAGGCUCGAAAGCGUGGGGAGCAAACAGGAUUAGAUACCCUGGUAGUCCACGCCGUAAACGAUGACUACUAGGUGUCGGGUGGCAAAGCCAUUCGGUGCCGCAGCCAACGCAAUAAGUAGUCCACCUGGGG